GUUCCAUCUGACAUCAACAGCAUACUCACCAUUUCUCCAGGACUGGAGAGUCACUACGAGCUGUGUGUGGAAGCUAGGCUAACAAGCUGAGCAAACUUAGCGCCCUUGGAAGGAGGCAGUGGUCCACAAACUACGGCCCGCGGGCCACGUACGGACCGCCAGCGUCCAAAAUCGGCCAGUGGGAAAUCCAAGCAGCGUCAGAGACCAUGAGAGGGGAAGCCGGGAAGCACGGAAGGAAGGACACUGGAGGAGAGGGCUGAAAAGCCAACACGGAGACAUUAUAUGUGAGACGAGCUGAAAAGCCAAGUAGAGACAUUGUGUGUGCGAAGAGCUGAAAAGCUCAAGAGAGACUUGUGUAAGGGAAUUAAAACAAUUGUUAAAACCACAUCCGAGAGUGUUGUGCCUUCCCCGGUGGUCCAAGAGGAACCCGAGACAGAAACGUCUCACAGUGGCACCCAACAAGGCGGACCACAGAAGGUAUGUCGACAACAUCCCCGCUGGAGGCACUGGGCCAAGUGCUGGCCGAGGUGUCAACGGCAAGCCGGCAGCAGACACGGGUGCUGCAGGCGCUAAUGGACAGAGCAGAGGCGGCGGGAGGCAUGUCCUCCAUGGAGCGCAUGGUGGAGGGGGAGGACCCCCAGACAUUCCUCGAUGUCUUCGAGGCCACGGCGACAUUAUGUAAGUGGCCGGAGGAGGAAUGGGGCGUGAAACUGCUGCCUCUCCCGGUGGGGGAGGCGCAGCGAGUGGCAUUGUGUCUCCCGGCGGCCGCUCGCAUGCAGUAUUCAAACUUGCGCCACGCCAUA